UACGGAGGGAGCUAGCGUUAUUCGGAAUUACUGGGCGUAAAGCGCACGUAGGUGGUUUGUUAAGUCAGCUGUGAAAUCCCCGGGCUCAACCUGGGCACUGCAGUUGAAACUGGCAAGCUAGAGUAUGGGAGAGGGUAGUGGAAUUCCCGGUGUAGCGGUGAAAUGCGUAGAUAUCGGGAGGAACAUCAGUGGCGAAGGCGGCUACCUGGCCCAAUACUGACACUCAGGUGCGACAGCGUGGGAGCGAACAGG
rnacentral:rRNA from 1 species